AGGGUUAUUUAUACCAUAAGCUCAAAAGAUCUGUUCAGAGAUUUCAGGAGCUGAGGCCAUUUGGGUCCAUAAAGAAUCUUGACCCAGUGGGGAAACCUGUGACAGAGGAAGCGAAGUUGGUCACACGGAUGCACCAAGUCCCUCAUGAUGUCAGUGAGGCUGCAUCCACGCUCUGGGUGGAAAGACGCUGAGUCUUCCAGACGCUGGUUGUCCAGAGGAGGCCGAGGUUCUCCUGAGGAAGCUCAAGGUCGUGCUGUUUUAACCAGUCCCCCCCCCCUUCCCUCCAUCAGGGUCCAACGGGGCUCAGCAGGAGGAAUGGGGGCCCACGCGGUGGGACCGGAAGGGCGGCCUCGCCAGCAGGAUCUAAUUUUAGCUGCAUGAUGAAUGGCCCAGGGAAGUGUUCCGCUGCCCUCCGAGGAGAGGAAUAUACAUCAGACCUGCUCAGAUGUGAAAAUGGAGGCUCAGAGAGAUGAAACCACCUGUUCAAGUUCUGGGACAUGGCCCGAACGUUAGAAGCAAAAUACUUGAAGAGAUGCCGGCGGAGGGAGGCACUGCUCCCAGCGAGAAGGAAAAGGUGGGCUCUGACCCCAGCGGACUGACUGUAAAAGGAAAAGUGGCGAAAACCAUGAAAAAGCAGACAAGGAGCUAAAAAGGCGUGAUGAUCGCCGGCCGGCCGUCUAUGGCAGAAAUAUUUGCUGGCCAUCCCCGAGUCCCUUCCUGGGUUCUUUACAAGUUGUUUCCUUAUGGGACGGACAGCUGCUGACUCCGGGGUCUUCGCCGGGAACGAAAGAGCGAGGACCAGGAAGGUGAGAACUCAGAGGCGGUGGUGGAGGCCUUCGACGGCAUCGCGCUCCUCACGGGGGCUCUGCUCGCCUGCCCUGGACACCCACGGUCCCCCGCACCCCCCACGCAAGAUUCCCCUGGAAACAUGAUGUUCGUCUUUACUUUGGGAUGACCAUCCCGCAGGCAGAUGAACACAUCUGUCCUAGAACUGGAGCCCUGCAACUGCAACGUGACGCUGGCCAUCGCAGUUCCCAGGAGGGGCCCCGAGGACACAGGCUCCCUGUCCCCAGGCUGGGCUCUGGGCCCCCGCCAGGGCGGGUUCAGAUAUGCCAGGAGGGGGACCGGGCGGGGGGGGGGAGCUGGGGGCAACGCUUACUAUCAGGCUGCUUCUGACAAUGCCUAAUGUAACCCAUACACUACACAUACAUUCUAGUUACACAAUUUAUGAGGUAUAACAAGGGGAGAGAAGUGAAGCGGGCUUAUAAUUGUGACUGAUGUGAAACAGACAUGUAGAAUGAAUGGCCUUACAACAUUUUCUUUGAAGUUGGUUAAAAGCAGUAAAGUGAUAUUCGCCGUAAGUGAAACCUGCUGUGGCAGAUCCCCACUGGCGUGGGGGACGUUUUUCCUGUGGACUCUAUUUCUUGAAUUUUAAUCCGCCACUCGGAGGGUUUGAAAAGGUUUCUUUCGCUGCGCGGUGGGAGGGAGAGAGAGAGGAUGCACACUGUGGAACACCUACUACGUGCCCGUCCCGUGUCAAGCUCGUGGCCCCAGGGAGCCCCAGUGGGUGCAGCGCCUAGUGCCCACGGGAAUGUUUUCAUUUGAAUGUCUUGGAAAGCCAGAAGAAAGCAAUGAAUAUACUGAUACGAUACCACAUUAAUUAAUUCCCAUGAUAAAAUUAAAAUAAUGAUAAUGAACAUAACAAGGAAUCCGGUCUGGACUGUGUUUGCUCUCUGCUAUUUUUUUUUUAUGGGAAAAGGGCCCACAGGGCAGGGGACUGAGGGCCCGCAGACCGCACAGUGUGGCCCUGGGUGAUAGACACUAUCUCACUGGUUCUCCCCGGCGACUGUGAAAGGCAGGAAGGCACGGGGAGGGUGACCCUUCAGAGACUUCAGGAAUUUCCGAAGGACGAGGGAGAGCCAGGUCUGAAGGCGAUUGUCUGACUCCUCCCACGGGAGAAGAGCUUCAUGUUCAGGCAGUUCUAUAUGGGAACACCUGCCUGAGGCCUGCAGAACGCCAUCUGGACAUUUGUUACCGAAGAAAUGAAUGGAAAGUCCAUUCUGAGGUGGCCGUGUGUUUAUCCCAAGAAUAUAGGAAGAUGUCUAGAAACGUACGCCACUCAGAUGUCCCCCAAGUCUACCUGCUUCAAGGCCAGGAUUGUCUUUAACAUUCACGUAACCCAGGCCUUGUCCUUGGAGCCAUCGUCUUCCCUCUCUUCCUCCUGGGGUCUCUGUGUUCCCCUAACCAGCCCUGGUUCACACUGACCGUCUCCACUAAUAACCUCUCACCUGGUUAUGAAAGUCACUUUUGGGGCAGGUUGCCACAGCUUUCUCCUCCCGGGGAUGCAGGCCCCCCCCGCCCCCGCCCUGGUUCCCCAAAGCACAACUAAGACUCAGCUGGGAAACCCACCAGGUUUCCCUGAAGUCUUGGGGGGUAUCAGUAGCAUAACACAGAGGGCAACCUAUGGCUGAUACCUGGGCUGGCCAAGUGUCUCAGCCAAGACUAAGGGGCCCCGGCUGGGAAUUGAGCUUUUUUUCUCGUCAACAGUGUUACUUGAGGACCUGCUGUAUAAUAAAUACCAUUGGACUGUAUCCUUAAAAAGCACAAAUUCUCUCAUGUGAAUUAUAUCUCAAUAAAGACUAAUCUAUAAUGACAGA